AUUGAACGCUGGCGGCAUGCUUUACACAUGCAAGUCGAACGGUAACAGGCCUUCGGGUGCUGACGAGUGGCGAACGGGUGAGUAAUGCAUCGGAACGUGCCCAAUCGUGGGGGAUAACGUAGCGAAAGUUACGCUAAUACCGCAUAAGCCCUGAGGGGGAAAGCAGGGGAUCGCAAGACCUUGCGCGAAUGGAGCGGCCGAUGUCAGAUUAGCUAGUUGGUGGGGUAAAGGCCUACCAAGGCGACGAUCUGUAGCGGGUCUGAGAGGAUGAUCCGCCACACUGGGACUGAGACACGGCCCAGACUCCUACGGGAGGCAGCAGUGGGGAAUUUUGGACAAUGGGCGCAAGCCUGAUCCAGCCAUGCCGCGUGCGGGACGAAGGCCUCGGUUGUAACCGCUUUCAGCCGGAAGAAUACGCCAAGGCUAAUAUCCUUGUGGAUGACGGUACCGGAAGAAGAAGC
rnacentral:rRNA from 1 species